rnacentral:rRNA from 1 species
ACGACUCUCGGCAACGGAUAUAUAGGUUCUUGCAUCGAUGAAGAACGUAGCGAAAUGCGAUACUUGGUGUGAAUUGCAGAAUCCCGUGAACCAUCGAGUCUUUGAACGCAAGUUGCGCCCGAAGCCUUCUGGCCGAGGGCACGCCUGCCUGGGUGUCACA